rnacentral:rRNA from 1 species
CCUACGGGAGGCAGCAGUGAGGAAUAUUGGUCAAUGGACGAGAGUCUGAACCAGCCAAGUAGCGUGAAGGAUGACUGCCCUAUGGGUUGUAAACUUCUUUUAUAUGGGAAUAAAAUGUUCCACGUGUGGGAUUUUGUAUGUACCAUAUGAAUAAGGAUCGGCUAACUCCGUGCCAGCAGCCGCGGUAAUACGGAGGAUCCGAGCGUUAUCCGGAUUUAUUGGGGUUAAAGGGAGCGUAGGUGGAUUGUUAAGUCAGUUGUGAAAGUUUGCGGCUCAACCGUAAAAUUGCAGUUGAAACUGGCAGUCUUGAGUACAGCAGAGGUGGGCGGAAUUCGUGGUGUAGCGGUGAAAUGCUUAGAUAUCACGAAGAACUCCGAUUGCGAAGGCAGUUCACUGGACUGCAACUGACACUGAGGCUCGAAAGUGUGGGUAUCAAACAGGAUUAGAUACCCGUGUAGUC